rnacentral:rRNA from 1 species
AUUGAACGCUGGCGGCAUGCCUUACACAUGCAAGUCGAACGGCAGCACGGGAGCAAUCCUGGUGGCGAGUGGCGAACGGGUGAGUAAUACAUCGGAACGUGCCCAGUAGUGGGGGAUAACCCGGCGAAAGCCGGACUAAUACCGCAUACGACCUACGGGUGAAAGCGGGGGAUCGCAAGACCUCGCGCUAUCGGAGCGGCCGAUGUCAGAUUAGCUUGUUGGUGGGGAAAAGCCCACCAAGGCGACGAUCUGUAGCUGGUCUGAGAGGACGACCAGCCACACUGGGACUGAGACACGGCCCAGACUCCUACGGGAGGCAGCAGUGGGGAAUUUUGGACAAUGGGCGCAAGCCUGAUCCAGCCAUGCCGCGUGCGGGAAGAAGGCCUGGUGUAACG